CAGCGUAACCCAAGCAAAGCGUGCUUUAGUUUGAUAACCCGAAACUAAGUGAGCUACUCCAAGACAGCCUAUUAAUAGGGCAAACCCGUCUCUGUGGCAAAAGGGUGGGAAGAGCUUUGAGUAGAGGUGAUAGACCUACCGAACUUAGUUAUAGCUGGUUGCCUGGGAAUUGGAUAGAAGUUCAGCCUCACGGCUUCUUUAUUCACCUCAGUUUUACCCCUUCUGAUACCUUUAAGAAACCAAGAGAGUUAGUCAAAGGGGGUACAGCCCCUUUGAAUCAAGAUACAACUUUUCCAGGAGGGUAAAGAUCAUAAUUUAAGAAGGUAAAAAUAUUUGGGUGG
rnacentral:rRNA from 1 species